rnacentral:lncRNA from 1 species
GCAAACUCUAUGUUUUUCUGCUGAGGCUUAUAAGCCUGCUUCUCUGGAGACAAAUGAUGACAGAAUUAUGUGUAUAUAUAACUUCCAACCGAACUUAUGAACCUAGUUAAAUCGUGUGAACUUGAUUUUGAAGACUAGGCUUGUGAACCUUGCUAUUUAUAUGUGAAAGCUUUCACAUAUCUCUAGCCUUUUUAUAUGUUUUGCGAUAGCCGUAGGCUUGUGAACCGUGCUAUUUAUAUGUGAAAGCUUUCAGCAAAAGCUUUCACAUAUCUCUAGCCUUUUAUAUGUUUUGUGAUAGCCGUAGGCUUGUGUUUAUGGUGUUCUACCUAUGACUUCAUGUUGCUAUAUAUAAUGUUAUGGUUAUGGAUUUUAA